CUACGGGCCGCAGCAGUGGGGAAUAUUGCACAAUGGAGGAAACUCUGAUGCAGCAACGCCGCGUGGAGGAUGACACUUUUCGGAGCGUAAACUCCUUUUAUAUAGGAAGAAGAUGACGGUACUAUAUGAAUAAGCGCCGGCUAACUCCGUGCCAGCAGCCGCGGUAAUAAGGAGGGCGCAAGCGUUACUCGGAAUCACUGGGCGUAAAGAGCGUGUAGGCGGAUUAAAAAGUCAGAAGUGAAAUCCUAUAGCUUAACUAUAGAACUGCUUCUGAAACUCUUAAUCUAGAAUAUGGGAGAGGUAGAUGGAAUUCCUGGUGUAGGGGUAAAAUCCGUAGAGAUCAGAAGGCAUACCGAUUGCGAAGGCGAUCUACUAGAACAUUAUUGACGCUGAGACGCGAAAGCGUGGGGAGCAAACAGGAUUAGAUACCCUUGUAGUC
rnacentral:rRNA from 1 species